CUCUACUUAGAGUACAUGAGGGCCAUUUGUGAUAGAGAUCCAUAGUGAGGUAGUGUUGGAGCCUGUCCAAGGAGGUUCUGAGAGGGAUAAACAGACUCAGUAGAAACAAGCUGAAAGCACUACUAGACGUCCAUGGGCUGACCCAGGAAUAAACAACUCAUGAGACUUGACCUGCCAUUAUCAUUAACAAAAGAAAGGUUCUACAAGCCAGGGACAUCCAAUACUAUGGAGAGCAAUGGUUGGCUCUCUGGAAAUCCCAUGAAGAUGCUCAGAGAAACUUGGUAGAAUGUGGAUUCGAUGGGAAGAAUGUUUGUAACAUAUUUCAGAAGUAUUAAAUUUGACAUAACUUUAGACCCUAAGUGGAGGUAUCAAGAGGAUACUUGGCUUGACUCAACCCGAAGAUACUGAUUAAUGAACAUGUCAUAAUGCACUAAAGUCUUGGAUCUGCAAAAUCACUGUGAUUACCAUAAGAGAUGCAAGAUUCUGCAAGUCUUUGACAGAAGACGAAAAGAAUACCCAACACUGUUUGUUUAUAGAAGUUACAUAACAACAUUAAGAAAAUGGCAUGGGAGAAAUGAAAAAGGAAGAAAGAAAGAAAAAGGAUGAAAUAAAGAAAGACUCAAGUAGUGCAUUGAACUCAAAAGCCCCUGUGCUAGCUUUCUGUUUCCUAGGCUCGGAUAUUUCCUACUCAUGUUGUCAGCCUUCAGUUUCUGGAGGGUGGGAAUUCCAAGUUGAAGUUGCCAGCAGAUCCAGUGUCUGAUGAAGUCUUGCUGUGUGUGCUUCCAGGAUGGAAUCUUGCUGUGUCCUUAAAUGGUGAAAGGACAAGUCAGCUCCUUUCAUCCUUUUUCAGAAGGGCACUAAUCCCGUUAACGAGAAUCCUGUCCCUGUAACUUAAUGACCUCCUAAAAACCUCACUUCUUAAUAAUGUCAUGUUGGUGAUUAAUUUUCAAAAUAAACAUUUCAGGGGACACCUUCAAACUAUAGCACUUGCCCUUUGACUUUUCCCAUCUAUAAAUUCC